UACGGAGGGGGCUAGCGUUGUUCGGAAUUACUGGGCGUAAAGCGCACGUAGGCGGCUUUGCAAGUUAGAGGUGAAAGCCCGGGGCUCAACUCCGGAAUUGCCUUUAAAACUGCAUCGCUAGAAUUGUGGAGAGGUAAGUGGAAUUCCGAGUGUAGAGGUGAAAUUCGUAGAUAUUCGGAAGAACACCAGUGGCGAAGGCGACUUACUGGACACAUAUUGACGCUGAGGUGCGAAAAGCGUGGGGAGCAAACAGA
rnacentral:rRNA from 1 species